rnacentral:rRNA from 1 species
UGUAAUGUACUCUCUCUUCGGAGCAUCGGUGACAGGUGGUGCAUGGUUGUCGUCAGCUCGUGUCGUGAGAUGUUGGGUUAAGUCCCGCAACGAGCGCAACCCCUGUUCUUAGUAGCCAGCGGUUCGGCUGGGCACUCUAGGGAGACUGCCAGGGAUAACCUGGAGGAAGGCGGGGAUGACGUCAAAUCAUCAUGCCCCUUAUGACUUGGGCUACACACGUGCUACAAUGGCGUAAACAAAGGGAAGCGGAGCCGCGAGGCCGAGCAAAUCUCAAAAAUAACGUCUCAGUUCGGACUGUAGUCUGCAACCCGACUACACGAAGCUGGAAUCGCUAGUAAUCGCAGAUCAGAAUGCUGCGGUGAAUACGUUCCCGGGUCUUG